CUAGAUUUAUACUGGCCAAGGAUGACAUCACGCGGGUCUAGUUUGCGAAUUGAUCUCAAAACCUUCACCUGAAGAAGCAUUUUUUUCACAAGGUUGACCUUUUCAUUCCGGAUAUCUUCACCAUCGAGACUUAUCGGAGGUUCCAUGGUAAGUAAUGCGAUUGUCUGAAGUAUAUGGCUGUGCACUAUGUCCCGUAUUAUUCCAUAUCCAUCAGAAUACCUUCAAAAAAUGCAGUAGGAAAUUAGGUUAUAGACAAAGUGAACAGACCAGAAUGUGGAAGAGGAAAGUCCAGGCACUAUACACAACUAUAAACAUCUACCUGUAUAUUG